rnacentral:rRNA from 1 species
GGAGGAUGCAAGCGUUAUCCGGGAAUGAUUGGGCGUAAAGCGUCCGCAGGUGGCAAGUCAAGUUUGCGGUUAAAGGGUUCUGGGCUCAACCAGAGACAGGCCGUGAAAACUGACUAGCUAGAGUAUGGUAGGGGCAGAGGGAAUUCCCAGUGUAGCGGUGAAAUGCGUAGAGAUUGGGAAGAACACCGGUGGCGAAAGCGCUCUGCUAGGCCAAAACUGACACUGAGGGACGAAAGCUAGGGGAGCGAAUGGGAUUAGAUACCCCAGUAGUCCUAGCCGUAAACGAUGGAUACUAGGUGUAGCUUGUAUCGACACAAGCUGUGCCGUAGCUAACGCGUUAAGUAUCCCGCCUGGGGAGUACGCGCGCAAAGCGUG